GCCCUCAUCGUCUAGCGGCCCAGGACGCCGCCCUUUCACGGCGGUAGCGCGGGUUCGAAUCCCGCUGGGGGUACCA
rnacentral:tRNA from 1 species